AGCCUAGACCUAGCCCAACCACGUGUCAACCACUAAAGCUUAAUCAACCAACUAAACUUCCCCCGUACCAAACCAAAGCAUUUUAUUAACUUAGUAUAGGCGAUAGAAAAGAACCUCAGGCGCAAUAGAACCCCGUACCGUAAGGGAAAAGUGAAAUAAUAAUGAAAUACCCAAGCAAUAAACAGCAAAGAUUAACCCUUGUACCUUUUGCAUCAUGUUUUAGCAAGAACACCCAAGCAAAACGAAUUUAAGCUUGCCCCCCCGAAACCCAUGCGAGCUACCCAUGAGCAGCUUAUCAAAGAGCGAACCCGUCCCUGUUGCAAGAGGGUGGGAUGACUCAUCGGUAGAGGUGAAAAGCCUAUCGAGCUGGGUGAUAGCUGGUUGCCUGUGAAAUGAAUUUAAGUUCCCUCUUGACACCCCCCCCCAGACACCAACUGCAACUCCCAUGUGAUGUGUCAAGAGCUAUUUAAAGGGGGUACAGCCCCUUUAAAAAAGAACACAACCUCCCCUAGCGGAUAACUCCUCCCUUUCUUCCUCCCUGUAGGCCUUCAAGCAGCCACCAGUAAAGAAUGCGUCAAAGCUCUACCCCAUAAAAAUACAAAAACAACCUGAAUCCCUUAACCCUAACAGGCCAACCUAUCCCCAUAGGAGAACUAAUGCUAAAAUAAGUAACUAGGAACCCACCUCUUGGCGCAAGCUUACAUCCUAUUCAAUUAUUAACGGACAAUCGAUGUAUUAAUUACAACAGGACCAAACAUCGGACACACUGUUAACCCCACCCAGGAGCGCCACAAAAGAAAGAUUAAAAUUUGCAAAAGGAACUAGGCAAACUCAAGACCCGACUGUUUACCAAAAACACAGCCUUCAGCCGCCCAAGUAUUGAAGGUGAUGCCUGCCCAGUGACACCACGUUUAACGGCCGCGGUAUCCUAACCGUGCAAAGGUAGCGCAAUCAAUUGUCCCAUAAAUCGGGACCUGUAUGAACGGCUAAACGAGGUCUUAACUGUCUCUUGCAAAUAAUCAGUGAAAUUGAUCUUCCUGUGCAAAAGCAGGAAUAUCCCCACAAGACGAGAAGACCCUGUGGAACUUUAAAAUCAACGACCACAACAUAAACCAACAGACCCAAACCUAACAGGCUUAUCACCCUUACACACUGGUCUACAUUUUUUCGGUUGGGGCGACCUUGGAGCAAAACAAACCCUCCAAAAAUAAGACUACACCUCUUAACUGAGAGCAACUCCUCUACGUGCUAAUAGCAACCAGACCCAAUAUAAUUGACCAAUGAACCAAGCUACCCCAGGGAUAACAGCGCAAUCCCCUCCUAGAGCCCCCAUCAACGAGGGGGUUUACGACCUCGAUGUUGGAUCAGGACAUCCUAGUGGUGCAGCCGCUACUAAGGGUUCGUUUGUUCAACGAUUAAUAGUCCUACGUGAUCUGAGUUCAGACCGGAGCAAUCCAGGUCGGCUUCUAUCUGUGACAGACUCCUCCCAGUACGAAAGGACCGAAGGAGUAUGGCCCAUGCUUCAAGCACGCCAUACUGCUAAGUAAUGAAAUCAACUAAAUUACGAAACAGGCUACUCACCACCCGAUACACCCUAGAAAAGGGUCG
rnacentral:rRNA from 1 species